UCUGGUUGAUCCUGCCAGUAGUCAUACGCUUGUCUCAAAGAUUAAGCCAUGCAUGUCUAAGUAUAAAGGUUACAUACAAUGAAACUGCGAAUGGCUCAUUCAAACAGUUAUAGUUUAUUUGGAUUUACACAUUAGUUAAAUGGAUAACCGUAGUAAUUCUAGGGCUAAUACAUGCGUUACGGGGGACUUUACGGAACCCCAGUAUUUAUUAGAUUCAAACCAAUAUUCCGAAGGUCUACUUGAGAUGAUUCAUGAUAACUGAUCGAAUUGCUGGUCUACCGGCAAUAAGUCAUUCAUGUUUCUGCUUCCCAUCAGCUUGAUGGUAGUGUAUUGGACAACCAUGGCAUUCACGGGCUAUCGGGGGAUUAGGGUUCGAUUCCGGAGAGGGAGCCUGAGAAACGGCUACCACUUCUACGGAAGGCAGCAGGCGCGAAAAUUAUCCAAUCCUGAUUCAGGGAGGUAGUGAAACAAAUAAUGAACUAGGAUUUAUCCUGGGGUCACAAUGGGCUUGAUUUGCAAACUUUAUUUAGCGAGGAACAAUUGGAGGGCAAGUCUGGUGCCAGCAGCCGCGGUAAUUCCAGCUCCAAUAGUGUAUAUUAAUGUUCCUGCAGUUAUUCGAUGCUCGUAGUUGGAUUUCUGGAGGCUGAGAUCGGAGGGUAGCCAAGGUUACCGCUGAACUCUUCCUUCAUCCACCUGUUAACGUUGUCCGGGAUUCGUUUCUCGGCUUCGGGCUCAGGCAUAUACUUUUACCCUUUUUCUAUAUUUAUUGUUUUGAGUAAAUUAUAGUGUUUCAGGCAGGCGUGCGCCGGAAUACUUUAGCAUGGAAUAAUCGAAUUGGACCGUGUAUUCUUAUUGAAUUCUUCCUUAUUGUUGGUUCAAGGACACGGAAAUGGUUAAUAGGGAUAGUGUUUUUAUUAUCAGGGGAGGCAUUAGUAUUUAAUUUCCAGAGGUGAAAUUCUUUGAAAUAUUAAAGACUAACUUAUGCGAAAGCAUUUAUUAUUGCCAAUAAUGUUUUCAUUAAUCAUUGAACGAAAGUUAGGGGAUCAAAGACGAUCAGAUACCGUCCUAGUCUUAACCAUAAACGUUGCCGACUAGGGAUCGGAGGGCGUGCACAUUCCGCCUUCGGCACCUUACGAGAAAUCAAAGUCUUUUGGGUUCUGGGGGUAGUAUGGUCGCAAGGCUGAAACUUAAAGGAAUUGACGGAAGGGCACCACCAGGAGUGGAGCUUGCGGCUCAAUUUGACUCAACACGGGAAAUCUUACCAGGUCCAGACAUAGCGAGGAUUGACAGAUUGAUAGCUCUUUCUUGAUUCUAUGGUU
rnacentral:rRNA from 1 species